CGAGUUUCAGUCACAAAUCAGAUAUUUGCUAAUCACAAUAACAAAUCAAAAAUUCACUCAUAGUCAAAGUAACACAAAAUCGCAAAUCAAAUAUAUCAAAUAUCACAAAUUAGAGACUCGAAGAAAGUAUCAAACUCAAAAGGGAGAAUGACAAAUUAGUGACUCACAUAUGUGGUGAGUAUGGUGACCACCGACCAAAUCGCAAAAUACUCUAAUUUGCAUGCGAUGAGGGAGAUACGACGAAGUGAACAACGACGAGCACAAAUCGUGUUUGCAAGGAGGGGGGCGCGACUGAGUGAGCAGCGGCAAACACAGAUCAUGCGUGCAAGGAGGGAGACGGGAGACGCGACGAAGUGAGCAACGAGAGACGAACCGCAAAUAAAGACGAUGUCAAAGACGAUGAUGAAGACACGAAGACGAACAAAAAUGAACCAUGAUUCUGGAAUUCGAAAAAGAUACAGAUUUUGGAGUUUUAGAUAUGUUUAUAAAUUUCUAAUUUUAAUAAAGGUAUUUUGAUCAAUUUACCUGUAAUUUGUUUUUUAAGUGGCUACGGCCCCGUCACAACAAAGAAGUGCCUCUGCACAUACAAUUAAUGAAAUAUCAUCAUCCU
rnacentral:lncRNA from 1 species